UACGGAGGGUGCGAGCGUUGUCCGGAAUCACUGGGCGUAAAGGGCGCGUAGGCGGCAGGCCAAGCGUGCGGUGAAAGUCCGGGGCUCAACCCCGGAUCUGCCGUGCGGACUGGUUUGCAGAGCACUGUAGAGGCGAGUGGAAUUCCGGGUGUAGCGGUGGAAUGCGUAGAGAUCCGGAAGAACACCGGUGGCGAAGGCGGCUCGGCUGGGCAGUGGGCUGACGCUGAGGCGCGACAGCGUGGGGAGCAAACGAGG
rnacentral:rRNA from 1 species